ACCAGACUCCUACGGGAGGCAGCAGUGGGGAAUAUUGGACAAUGGGGGGAACCCUGAUCCAGCGACGCCGCGUGAGUGAAGAAGUAUUUCGGUAUGUAAAGCUCUCUCAGCAGGGAAGAAAGAAAUGACGGUACCUGACUAAGAAGCCCCGGCUAACUACGUGCCAGCAGCCGCGGUAAUACGUAGGGGGCAAGCGUUAUCCGGAUUUACUGGGUGUAAAGGGAGCGUAGACGGCUGUGCAAGCCAGAUGUGAAAGCCCGGGGCUCAACCCCGGGACUGCAUUUGGAACUGUGUAGCUGGAGUGUCGGAGAGGCAGGCGGAAUUCCUAGUGUAGCGGUGAAAUGCGUAGAUAUUAGGAGGAACACCAGUGGCGAAGGCGGCCUGCUGGACGAUGACUGACGUUGAGGCUCGAAAGCGUGGGGAGCAAACAGGAUUAGAUCCCCUGGUA
rnacentral:rRNA from 1 species